rnacentral:rRNA from 1 species
CGGUGAGCAUGUUGCUUAAUUCGAUGCAACGCGAAGAACCUUAUCCUGGGCUUGACAUGCUUGGAUGCCCAUCUGGAAACAGAGUAGGCUGCCCUUCGGGGUGAAACUUGCACAGGUGCUGCAUGGCUGUCGUCAGCUCGUGUCGUGAGAUGUUGGGUUAAGUCCCGUAACGAGCGAAACCCUUGUCGCUAGUUGCCAGCGCGUAAUGGCGGGGACUCUAGCGAGACUGCCGGUGUUAAACCGGAGGAAGGUGGGAUGACGUCAAGUCCUCAUGGCCUUUAUGCCCAGGGCUGCAAACGUGCUACAAUGACCGGUACAAACCGACGCAAAGCCGCGAGGUCGAGCAAAUCGGAAAAGCCGGCCCAGUUCGGAUUGGAGUCUGCAACUCGACUCCAUGAAGUUGGAAUCGCUAGUAAUCGCAGAUCAGCUAUGCUGCGGUGAAUGUGUUCCUGAGCCUU